GGUGUUGGCUAAGAUCCCAGAGGA
rnacentral:siRNA from 1 species